GCUAAUUUAUAAGCGGAGUGUGUGAAAGAAAAUAAGGUGAAGCUCACACCUGGGUUUCAUAAGCUGCAAUCUUUGGUGCUCUGGAAUGGGUAACCUGAUGUAGCACUUAGUGCCACUGCUCUACUGCCAAGCUGUUUUCCUGCCCAUGGAAAAGACACCUGAGAUAAUGAGAGACCGGAAUCAAUGGGUGAAAAGAUUCUAUCGUCAUGUUAGAUGGACUUAUACUCUAGAAUUCCCAUAAUGGAUGGCUUAGGUCCUCAAGACUGCAACUGUGACUGUGUCAAACAACUUUGUUUGUUAUAACUCACCGCGGACCGCCUAGAGGUUUAUUUUCUUCAGGAAUGCAGCUGACUGGAGUUUUGAUUUUCCUCUCCUUUGUUAUGGCCAUUGUUCAAUGAUAAUGUUAACGGACAGAUAUUGUUAGAUAGCAUUUAUGUUGAUCAGCUGGAGCUAUUUUUUUCUGUGUUUUUAAACAAAUCCGUAUCUUCAUGGGUUAUGUAAUUACUAAUUUGUAAAGAAAUAAUUGCCUUUUACAUGUGAACUUGUUACAGAACUCAGUCCCUGAAAACUGUGAAGAGCUCUUCAUAAAAAUGAAUUGACUAACCAGGAUAAGCCUCAAUUACUACUGAAUAGCAUUUUUUAGCAAUAUACUGUAUGUCCAAAUCAGAAGCAGGUGAAGGCAAUCCCAGCAGUUACAAGUAAAAGUAACAACAAACAUAAUAGGACAACAAUUUAUCAUAGACACAAAAACAGCCACAUGGCUCUUAAUAGUAGGAUAAUGUAAUGAUAACAACUUGUGCUGUGGCAUUCUUUUUUGACUGUGACAAUAAAUUAUAGCCUCUAUAGAAAAUACAUUCAAAUGUAGGGAAAAAAUGUAAAUACUACACAGAAGGCACAGUAUUACCUUUUACACUACAGUGCUGACAUAAAUAGCUGCUUUUGCAUCAAUAAAACAAGUCAAAACACAUUGCUUCAGUUUUAAUAUGCUGGUUUUCCAUCUAAUGUUAGUUCAAGUCUAACACUAGUUCUUUCUGAGUCACCCCAAAAUCCUUGCAAUAAGUUGCAGAGGAAAAGUGGGUUCAAAAAACAGCAUUUAGCUAUGGCCUAUGGAAAUUUAGCUAAUGACAAUGCUGCCUCACAACUUUGAGAUACUGUGUUUAAAUCCUGGCUUAGUCACUUAUUGUGUGCUGUUUGCAUAUUCGCCUCAUGUAUGGGUAAAUAUUUUUCUGGAUAUGCAUGGUUUUCUCUUAUUUUAUCACUACUACAGACUGAUAUUUGCAGUAUGCUUUUUGACCUAAAAUUUGGACUAAACAGAUGUAAGGUUGAAUGUUAAUGUAGUCAUUGUGGCCAUCUAAGACUGAGUUUGUUUACCACCUGCUCUAAGAAGUCAUAUGGAUUGCAACAUGUCAUUCAUAGACAGACAGACAGAUAUUUUUCAUCUAACAAUGUCAAAAUGUUUGAAAUAUAUAGAUAUUUCACAUCUCACCGUCCAUUUCAGUCAAGUUUAUAUACAUUAAGAAAACCAAGGUAACUUGUAUGAAUGAUGUGUAUGUAAUUGGAAGUGCUUGGAAAGGAUCACUAAGCUCACUCCUGUUUGUGAAUGACAUUCACAGGUCAGUAAAUGAUGCAAUCUCUCAGAACACCUAAAACAGCAAAUGAGACAUCCAUGUUAGGAUGAUAAUUUAGUUACUGUUCUGUAUCCACAGACUAAUUAUUACAUUUACAGACCUGGGGUUAUGUAUCUCCAUCUGCUACUUUACACUGAUUUUCCUAAAUGUCAAUGGUGUAGUAAAGAUGAAUACAAUUUCUGUCACACUGAUUUUGAACAUUGCUGCCCUUUUAAACAGCUAGUUUAGUCCCAAAUGGUAUUCAGUGUUUACUCAAGACUGUAGUAACUACACAAUGAUGACAGCCUAGGCACUGUAAUGUAGUAGCUAAGCCACUGGACUCUUUUAAGUUACACAGUUGUUAGUACAAUUCCUACCUCUGACUCACUGUGCGGCAUUGAUCAUUAUUGUGUGCAAACAAGCGUAAUGAAUAUUGACUGUGUAGUUUGCUUUGACUAAAAAUGUCAGUCAAAUAAUGUCAGUACAAUAAUAAUGAAAUCUAUAACAUGCACAGGAGUGUAUUUGCAGUUGAUUUUGAUGUAGUUACAAUGAGAAUUAGAACCUCCACAUCUGAAGUCAUGGUGUGUAUUCAGUAAAUAAUUCUGUCUAAAUCUAAGGGGUGAACUCUUGCCGCAAUUAAAAGAGUAUCUCAGUGAAGAACAAGGAGAGUUCAAGUAGCUUGUUUUUGAAGGAAGGUUACAAUUGAUCAUGAGAAUAAACAAUGAAUCAUAA